GACGAACGCUGGCGGCGUGCUUAACACAUGCAAGUCGAACGCUGAAGCACCAGCUUGCUGGUGUGGAUGAGUGGCGAACGGGUGAGUAAUACGUGAGUAACCUGCCCUUGACUCUGGGAUAAGCCCGGGAAACUGGGUCUAAUACUGGAUGCUACAUGUCACCGCAUGGUGGUGUGUGGAAAGUGUUUCCUGUUCUUGGAUGGGCUCACGGCCUAUCAGCUUUUUGGUGAGGUAAUGGCUCACCAAGGCGACGACGGGUAGCCGGCCUGAGAGGGUGACCGGCCACAAUGGGACUGAGAAACGGCCCAGAAUCCCACGGGAGGCAGCAGUGGGGAAUAUUGCAAAAUGGGCGAAAGCCUGAUGCAGCGGAGCCGCGUGAGGGAUGACGGCCUUCGGGUUGUAAACCUCUUUCAGCAGGGAAGAAGCCACAAGUGACGGUAACUGCAGAAGAAGCGCCGGCUAACUACGUG
rnacentral:rRNA from 1 species